rnacentral:rRNA from 2 species
UACAGAGGUCUCAAGCGUUGUUCGGAUUCAUUGGGCGUAAAGGGUGCGUAGGCGGUGCCGCAAGUCAGAUGUGAAAUCUCGGGGCUUAACCCCGAAACUGCAUUUGAUACUGCGGUGCUCGAGGACUGGAGAGGAGACUGGAAUUCACGGUGUAGCAGUGAAAUGCGUAGAUAUCGUGAGGAAGGCCAGUGGCGAAGGCGAGUCUCUGGACAGUUCCUGACGCUGAGGCACGAAGGCCAGGGGAGCAAACGGG